rnacentral:rRNA from 2 species
GCAGUCGAGCGGAACGAUGGGAGCUUGCUCCCAGGCGUCGAGCGGCGGACGGGUGAGUAACACGUGGGAAUCUGCCCAUUAGUGGGGGAUAACUCGGGGAAACUCGAGCUAAUACCGCAUAAUCCCUACGGGGGAAAGCAGGGGAUCUUCGGACCUUGCGCUGAUGGAUGAGCCCGCGUCGGAUUAGCUUGUUGGUGGGGUAAUGGCCCACCAAGGCGACGAUCCGUAACUGGUCUGAGAGGAUGGCCAGUCACACCGGGACUGAGACACGGCCCGGACUCCUACGGGAGGCAGCAGUGGGGAAUCUUGGACAAUGGGCGCAAGCCUGAUCCAGCCAUGCCGCGUGUGUGAAGAAGGCCUUCGGGUUGUAAAGCACUUUCAGUAGGGAGGAAGGCUUUGGGCUAAUACCCUGGAGUACUUGACGUUACCUACAGAAGAAGCACCGGCUAAUUUCGUGCCAGCAGCCGCGGUAAUACGAAAGGUGCGAGCGUUAAUCGGAAUUACUGGGCGUAAAGCGCGCGUAGGCGGUGUGUUAAGUCGGAUGUGAAAGCCCAGGGCUCAACCUUGGAAUUGCAUCCGAUACUGGCACGCUAGAGUGCAGUAGAGGGAGGUGGAAUUUCCGGUGUAGCGGUGAAAUGCGUAGAGAUCGGAAGGAACACCAGUGGCGAAGGCGGCCUCCUGGACUGACACUGACGCUGAGGUGCGAAAGCGUGGGGAGCAAACAGGAUUAGAUACCCUGGUAGUCCACGCCGUAAACGAUGUCUACUAGCCGUUGGGGUCCUUAGUGACUUUGGUGGCGCAGCUAACGCGAUAAGUAGACCGCCUGGGGAGUACGGCCGCAAGGUUAAAACUCAAAUGAAUUGACGGGGGCCCGCACAAGCGGUGGAGCAUGUGGUUUAAUUCGAUGCACGC